rnacentral:tRNA from 1 species
AGCUGAGUAGCUCAGUGGUUAGAGCACUGAGUUUGGAAUGAUGGAGGCUCAUCUUCAUGAGUUCAAAUCUAGCCUCAGAUG